UACAGAGGUCUCAAGCGUUGUUCGGAUUCAUUGGGCGUAAAGGGUGCGUAGGCGGCGCGGUAAGUCGGGUGUGAAAUCUCGGGGCUUAACUCCGAAACUGCAUUCGAUACUGCCGUGCUUGAGGACUGGAGAGGAGACUGGAAUUUACGGUGUAGCGGUGAAAUGCGUAGAUAUCGUAAGGAAGACCAGUGGCGAAGGCGGGUCUCUGGACAGUUCCUGACACUGAGGCACGAAGGCUAGGGGAGCAAACGGG
rnacentral:rRNA from 1 species